ACAGCAUGUAAAUAGCUGACAACAACCCAACAGCCUUCCCUGACGUUGAAACAAGCACCCAGCUUUGAGAAAACGCUGCUGCUGCUGCGAGAACCUUUCAUGUUCACGGGCUGAGCUGUGAGUGGUUUGAAGCCAGCCGGUGGGAAGCGGUUCCCGUGUGCAGGUCCUGUCCGUAAGCAAAGAGGCAUCUGUGCUCUCUGCUGGGGCAGCUCUUGGCCUCCUGGAGGCUCGAGCCAUCGCCCACGGCCACGGGGCUCUGUCCCCCAUCACCACAGCCUUGCCAUCUCCUUUCCCAAACUGUCCGAGCUCUGCCUCUGAAGAGGACCACAUCGUUUACGUCCGAGCCUGCUGAGGACCUCCCUGCACCGCCGGGAAGGAGCUGUCACCUCCCUUCCAGCCUAAACUCACUCCUGGCCACUUUCUAUAAAUGUGUCUUUGUGC